UUAAUUGAAGAGUUUGAUCAUGGCUCAGAUUGAACGCUGGCGGCAGGCCUAACACAUGCAAGUCGAGCGGAAACGACAACAUUGACCCUUCGGGUGAUUUAUUGGGCGUCGAGCGGCGGACGGGUGAGUAAUGCCUGGGAAAUUGCCCUGAUGUGGGGGAUAACUAUUGGAAACGAUAGCUAAUACCGCAUAACGUCUACGGACCAAAGAGGGGGACCUUCGGGCCUCUCGCUUCAGGAUAUGCCCAGGUGGGAUUAGCUAGUUGGUGAGGUAAUGGCUCACCAAGGCGACG
rnacentral:rRNA from 2 species